UCUCUCUCUCUUCUUUAAUUACUUGCCACAUCACCAUGUUUGCUAGUCCCAAGACUAUGUUACUAGCUAUGAUACCCCCACUAUGGCCAACCUAAGACGCUGAGUGUUCCUAUUGCUGCUGUAAGCAUUUGAUUAGAUUAUGUUUUCACCUGGAGUUCAUGACCAAUUGAUCAUGAGCAUCAAUUAUCUUUACUGCUGAAUUUCUCUUAUUUUGGUUAUAUGUUGAUGGCACGACAAAGCGGGCAUACAUCACGAAUAAACUUAGCUCGGGGAAGAGCAUCAAGAGGAUGGACUCACUCGACGGCUUGUACCGCAUGUCCCAUACACAUAGCGAGACCCCGCCGAUGCGACAAGCAAUGUCGAACCUGCAGAAAUAGUCCCCACAGAAUCAUGAGGGGGCCACUGAUGAGUAAGACACAGAGGACGUUGCGGAAGAGGAGGUCCCGUCGGGGGAGUAUAUUAUUACUGAUUACCAAUUCUAUCUAAUCUAACUUUUUUUCAUGUGCCAUGUUUUCUUGUUGCAAAUAUACUGAAUUGGUGUUUGCUUGUAAAUGGAGAGGAAUGGGCACGAAAGGUGGGGACAUGGAAACAGUAGAAGAAAGUGUGCACGUGGUGGCCGAGAGGGAGGGAGCAAAAGGAACACAGCUAUUUGGUGAAAAACAAAAUAUAUGUUUUGCCCGAUGCAAGAACAACAUAGAAUAAGUGAUGCACAUACUUUGCUUGUUUUGUGACAACCACUUGUAUUUUGCUAUGUUUUUUAAACUAAUUAAAUGAUAUCUUCUUAGUUUUUUCAGAA